rnacentral:sRNA from 1 species
GAGGAGCUAUCCGCGACGAAGUCGCAUCGGAAUGAUAGCGACGAAAGGCCGCCGAACGAAGGUGAGGGGGCAAUUCAAU